UACGGAGGGGGCCAGCGUUGUUCGGAAUUAUUGGGCGUAAAGGGCGCGUAGGCGGCCGGAUAAGUCUGAUGUGAAAUCCCACGGCUCAACCGUGGAACUGCAUCUGAAACUGUUCGGCUCGAGUCCGGGAGAGGGUAGUGGAAUUCCCAGUGUAGCGGUGAAAUGCGUAGAUAUUGGGAGGAACACCGGUGGCGAAGGCGGCUACCUGGACCGGUACUGACGCUGAGGCGCGAAAGCUAGGGUAGCAAACAGG
rnacentral:rRNA from 1 species